AUCAAACUGACGGAUCCGAAAUAGGACGAAACCCGAGUCCUGGAU
rnacentral:hammerhead_ribozyme from 1 species